AAUCAACGCUGGCGGCGUGCCUCAGACAUGCAAGUCGAACGCGAAAGUUUCCUUCGGGAGAUGAGUAGAGUGGCGCACGGGUGAGUAACACGUGAGCAAUUUACCUUCGGGUGGGGAAGUACUAACCGGAAACGGUUGUUAUACCGCAUAAUGCAGCGGCAUCAAUGAUGACAGUUGUUAAAGCGGGGGAGUUGGAGCAAUCCGACCUCGCGCCUGAAGAGAAGCNCGCGGCAGAUUAGCUAGUUGGUAAGGUAA
rnacentral:rRNA from 1 species